rnacentral:rRNA from 1 species
CACGUAGGGGACGAGCGUUGUCCGGAUUCAUUGGGCGUAAAGCGCGCGUAGGCGGCUCGGAAAGUCGGUCGUGAAAUGCCGGGGCUCAACCCCGGGACUGCGUCCGAUACUUCCGGGCUGGAGGUAGGUAGGGGAGAUCGGAAUUCCUGGUGUAGCGGUGAAAUGCGCAGAUAUCAGGAGGAACACCGGUGGCGAAGGCGGAUCUCUGGGCUAUAACUGACGCUCAUGCACGAAAGCGUGGGGAGCAAACAGG